UCAGGUUAAUUUGCUUCCGAUGCCCUUCUCCUCCAAACACGAUCCCCUCUGCGGCCGGCAGUAGCACGGGCACCUCUCAACCCUAAUGGCGUCGCAGCUCCCUCCUGGACCUACCCUCUCGUCCAUCUCCCUCUAUCUCGCUGACGGUGGUGGAGGUACAGAUCCUUUUUUUUUGCGAACAGAGGUACAGAUCCGGUGCCUAGCUGGGCGAGUACGCUCCAUAUACGCUCCAUGUAGGUACCGUUCCAUCUGCGCUCCGACGGCUCUUCGCCGUCUCGUCAGCGGCGGUCCGGCUGCUUUGAACGGACCUCGCCAUGUGCUAAGCUGCGGUUGCGGGGGAACAAACUCGCCUCGAUUUAUCAUGCGAGUAACAUACUGGAGCUCGGCGGUGGCAUCGUCUACAUCCGUUUAUUAGUCCCGUGUUUCACUUCUCUGCUCUGCUGGCACGGUUUUUUGUGUGACAUUUGUUCAGGAAACAUAGCAUCGGCCAGAGCGGCUUCAGAGUAUUAAAACAUGUUACCAAUUUUUGGGAGAACUAGCAUUCCAUUGCUGCUACAACUUCUGUGAGACUGCGCUUUCUUCAAUUUGAAGUAACCUCUUCCAAUUUAUUGUGGCUACAAUCUGAAGCAUCUUACAAAUAAGUUGAGUUAGAAUCAUUCUUUGGUGUGUGGUAUGUCUCUGGAACUUUGGUUGUGCAUUUCCUUUCACUUUUGCAUUGUGUUGAAGAAAUAUAUGCAUCUCUUUCACCUGAUUAACCAAUCGCAUCUCAUUUCAGUAGAUUUUUUUGUAAACGGGGCACCCAAGAGUAGGGUUUCUGUUUGAGUUUUUAGGGCUUCAGUAAGUAUAAAUUGUUGUUUUCAUUUCACAUUCGUUUGGUACCAGGUACGAUUCCAUUCUACUCCGAACCAUAAAUUAGACAACAUUACAUCUCUUUCCUUAGUGGAAAACAAACAUAUUUUUCUUCUAAAUUAUGCAAUAACACUCUCCUUGUAUACUUACAGCUAUUAUAUUUUUGUUACAGUAGUGUAGAAACUGUAGUGGUAAACUGGGUGGAAAUUAACAGAAUUAUCAUGGUUCACAUAACUAUUAUGUGCAAGCUACUACUCACCAAGCAAUAUAGAAAUGUAUGCACAUGACUGAACUAUAAUUCAAAUCUUUACAAACUUUUAAUCCACCAGAGAACAUAAUUAUUUCCUAGUUCUUGCCUUGUAAUGUGAACUGUAACAUUGUUCUUGUAUUUUGUAGAUGUAUGCUGCCCUCUGACCAGCGGAAGCAUCAGGACUGCAAAUGGAGAGAGGAGGUGUUCACCGAAGACUUCCCUUCCUUAUAGCUGCAAGAAUUUCUCUGCAGGAUAAUUUUAAUUCUUUUGUUGAGCAUACACCUACGCGUGCUUGUGCUCAACUGAAGCUCGAACUGGAGGAAAGGACAGGGCUUUCAUGUCAUGUGCCAUCAAGAUAGUCCAGACUUCCCUUCCUUACAGUUCCUGACCCAUUUUUAAUAGCAAUGCUUGUUGAGCAGUGAUCGUAUUAGUCCUUAGGUCCCAGUCUUGCCAGUCAUGUACUGAAAAUGAUCCUCCCAUGUAUCAGUCGAUAUGUAUGCAUGCCUCUUGUGUUGUGUUCCAUCUAUGAUGGCCCAGUUUGAAAUGUAAAUUUAGUUAUGCUUGAAGAGUAUGGUAUAA